AUACCUUAAUGUUGCCUCGGCGGAUCAGCCCGCGCCCCGUAAAACGGGACGGCCCGCCAGAGGACCCAAACUCUAAUGUUUCUUAUUGUAACUUCUGAGUAAAACAAACAAAUAAAUCAAAACUUUCAACAACGGAUCUCUUGGUUCUGGCAUCGAUGAAGAACGCAGCAAAAUGCGAUAAGUAAUGUGAAUUGCAGAAUUCAGUGAAUCAUCGAAUCUUUGAACGCACAUUGCGCCCGCUGGUAUUCCGGCGGGCAUGCCUGUUCGAGCGUCAUUUCAACCCUCAAGCCCCCGGGUUUGGUGUUGGGGAUCGGCUCUGCCUUCUGGCGGUGCCGCCCCCGAAAUACAUUGGCGGUCUCGCUGCAGCCUCCAUUGCGUAGUAGCUAACACCUCGCAACUGGAACGCGGCGCGGCCAUGCCGUAAAACCCCAACUUCUGAAUGUUGACCUCGGAUCAGGUAGGAAUACCCGCUGAACUUAAGCAUAUCAAU
rnacentral:misc_RNA from 1 species